rnacentral:lncRNA from 1 species
GAAUUUUUCAAACUUGCUGUAUUAUGCUUAUCCUCUUACAGUCUGACUUUUUUUUUUUUUUUAAGGUGAUGUUAAAGACUGCAAUACAGUUAAAAAGAUGCAGUUAAAAAAACCCCAACAACCUCUGUUUGUAUUCAUUUUUAAGCCUUGCUUAUGCUCUGAUACUACAAAGCACUGAACACCUCAGGUAAUUCUGAGACCAGUCUCCCACACACCAAUACCAAUAUGGCUUUUUCUGCUGGAUUAAGCAAAAAGAGCAAUACAAGCUGAAAUCUGGAAAAACCAUGAGAGGAGUUUUUUGUGGGUUUUUUUUCCAUACAACUUGUAAUUAACUCAUUGCUAUAGGAUUUUAUGAAUCUCACUUUUUUGUAUAUAUUGAAAACGUAAUCAGACAACUUAAUGAGAAUAAAACCUAUCAGGUUUUCAAAUAUGCAGACAGUAACUCUUAAAAGAACAUUAAUAAAAAUUAUCUCUGAAUCUUAGAUCACUAGGAGCUAUAGGACUGUACUGAGGAUGUGUCACUGCAUGUUUGCCACUUCUUAUUCAUUUCCUUAGGCAUUUGCUCUUGCUGGAAGAAUGGUACCUGGUGGCCUGGACCUUUGAUUUGAUCAGUCUGAGGUGCUUUCAUAUGUCCUCUAGGGAGGCCAAGAUGCAUUCAAGAAAAAGCUCUGGCGUUAUGUGCCCUAACUUUUUGAUGCCUGGCACCUGAUGUGCAGUUCCUAACCUUAAGUUAGGUGCAGCAUUUCUGGCUGUGUGAAUAUUGAACACAUUUUGCCAACAGGAGAGCAAUGGAGUUUCUUCAGAACACUGAGCUUGAAGGCAAGAACC